GUACAGGAUUUGGGAUGAGAAUAUGUUCUUGAUUUCCUUAGACCAGAAAACAUGAAGAUUGAUGUUGUAUCAAAGCCCUCAUUUAAGUCAGAAGAUUUCCAGUGCGAACCUUGGUUUGGGUCACAUUAUAGUAUUAUACUGAGGAAGAUGUAUCUCCAUCUUUGAUAGAUUUGUGGAAGGACCCUCCAGAAAUUGAUGUUUCAUUGCAUCUCCCAGAAAAGAAUGAGUUCAUUCCUACUGAUUUUUCCAUUUGUUUUGAUGGUCUUGAUACUACAGAUACAGCUUCUCCGAGUUGUAUAUUGGAUGAGCCAUUGGUGAAGUUCUGGUACAAACUUGAUAGUACUUGAAAACUUCCACAGGCAAAAUACUUAUUUC
rnacentral:lncRNA from 1 species